GCUGAUGUAGCUCAGUUGGUAGAGCAACUGAUUCGUAAUCAAGUUUCGCGCUUCAGCA
rnacentral:tRNA from 3 species